rnacentral:rRNA from 1 species
UACAGAGGUCCCAAGCGUUGUUCGGAUUCACUGGGCGUAAAGGGUGCGUAGGUGGUGAAGUAAGUCGGAUGUGAAAUCUCCAAGCUCAACUUGGAAACUGCAUUGGAAACUACUUUGCUAGAGGAUUUGAGGGGGAUUGGAAUACUUGGUGUAGCAGUGAAAUGCGUAGAUAUCAAGUGGAACACCAGUGGCGAAGGCGAAUCCCUGGAAAUACCUGACACUGAGGCACGAAAGCUAGGGAGCAAACAGG